UACGGAGGGGGCUAGCGUUGUUCGGAAUUACUGGGCGUAAAGCGCACGUAGGCGGCUUUGUAAAGUUAGAGGUGAAAGCCCAGGGCUUAACCCCUGGAAUUGCCUUUAAGACUGCAUCGCUAGAAUCGUGGAGAGGUGAGUGGAAUUCCGAGUGUAGAGGUGAAAUUCGUAGAUAUUCGGAAGAACACCAGUGGCGAAGGCGACUCACUGGACACGUAUUGACGCUGAGGUGCGAAAAGCGUGGGGAG
rnacentral:rRNA from 1 species